rnacentral:rRNA from 1 species
UACGGGGGGGGCAAGCGUUGUUCGGAAUUACUGGGCGUAAAGGGUUCGUAGGUGGCCAACUAAGUCAGACGUGAAAUCCCUCAGCUUAACUGGGGAACUGCGUCUGAUACUGGUUGGCUUGAGUGCAGGAGAGGAACGCGGAAUUCCUGGUGUAGCGGUGAAAUGCGCAGAUAUCAGGAGGAACACCGAUGGCGAAGGCAGGUCUCUGGGCAUUAACUGACGCUGAGGAGCGAAAGCAUGGGGAGCGAACAGG